AUGAACGCUGGCGGCGUGCCUAAUACAUGCAAGUCGAGCGAACGGACGAGAAGCUUGCUUCUCUGAUGUUAGCGGCGGACGGGUGAGUAACACGUGGAUAACCUACCUAUAAGACUGGGAUAACUUCGGGAAACCGUAGCUAAUACCGGAUAAUAUUUUGAACCGCAUGGUUCAAAAGUGAAAGACGGUCUUGCUGUCACUUAUAGAUGGAUCCGCGCUGCAUUAGCUAGUUGGUAAGGUAACGGCUUACCAAGGCAACGAUGCAUAGCCGACCUGAGAGGGUGAUCGGCCACACUGGAACUGAGACACGGUCCAGACUCCUACGGGAGGCAGCAGUAGGGAAUCUUCCGCAAUGGGCGAAAGCCUGACGGAGCAACGCCGCGUGAGUGAUGAAGGUCCUCGGAUCGUAAAACUCUGUUAUUAGGGAAGAACAUAUGUGUAAGUAACUGUGCACAUCUUGACGGUACCUAAUCAGAAAGCCACGGCUAACUACGUG
rnacentral:rRNA from 1 species